UGCAGUCGAGCGGAUGAAGGAGCUUGCUCCUGGAUUCAGCGGCGGACGGGUGAGUAAUGCCUAGGAAUCUGCCUGGUAGUGGGGGACAACGUUUCGAAAGGAACGCUAAUACCGCAUACGUCCUACGGGAGAAAGCAGGGGACCUUCGGGCCUUGCGCUAUCAGAUGAGCCUAGGUCGGAUUAGCUAGUUGGUGAGGUAAUGGCUCACCAAGGCGACGAUCCGUAACUGGUCUGAGAGGAUGAUCAGUCACACUGGAACUGAGACACGGUCCAGACUCCUACGGGAGGCAGCAGUGGGGAAUAUUGGACAAUGGGCGAAAGCCUGAUCCAGCCAUGCCGCGUGUGUGAAGAAGGUCUUCGGAUUGUAAAGCACUUUAAGUUGGGAGGAAGGGCAUUAACCUAAUACGUUAGUGUUUUGACGUUACCGACAGAAUAAGCACCGGCUAACUCUGUGCCAGCAGCCGCGGUAAUACAGAGGGUGCAAGCGUUAAUCGGAAUUACUGGGCGUAAAGCGCGCGUAGGUGGUUCGUUAAGUUGAAUGUGAAAUCCCCGGGCUCAACCUGGGAACUGCAUCCAAAACUGGCGAGCUAGAGUAUGGUAGAGGGUGGUGGAAUUUCCUGUGUAGCGGUGAAAUGCGUAGAUAUAGGAAGGAACACCAGUGGCGAAGGCGACCACCUGGACUGAUACUGACACUGAGGUGCGAAAGCGUGGGGAGCAAACAGGAUUAGAUACCCUGGUAGUCCACGCCGUAAACGAUGUCAACUAGCCCGUUGGGAGCCUUGAGCUCUUAAGUGGCGCAGCUAACGCAUUAAAGUUGACCGCCUGGGGGAGUACGGGCCGCAAGGGUUAAAACUCCAAAUGAAUUUGACGGGGGGCCCGCACCAAGCGGGUGGAAGCAUGGUGGGUUUAAAUUUCCGAAGCAACGGCCGAAGAAACCUUUACCAAGGCCUUUGACAUCCCAAUGGAACUUUUCC
rnacentral:rRNA from 1 species